rnacentral:rRNA from 1 species
AUUGAACGCUGGCGGCAGGCCUAACACAUGCAAGUCGAACGAGUGGCGGACGGGUGAGUAAUGUCUGGGAAACUGCCUGAUGGAGGGGAAUAACUACUGAAAACGGAGGCUAAUACCGAUUACUAUCGGAUGGCCCCAAAUGGGAUUAGCUAGUAGGUGGGGUAAAGGCUCACCUAGGCGACGAUCCCUAGCUGGUCUGAGAGGAUGACCAGCCACACUGGAACUGAGACACGGUCCAGACUCCUACGGGAGGCAGCAGUGGGGAAUAUUGCACAAUGGGCGCAAGCCUGAUGCAGCCAUGCCGCGUGUAUGAAGAAGGCCUUCGGGUUGUAAAGUACUUUCAGCGGGGAGGCGUUACCCGCAGAAGAAGCACCGGCUAACUCCGUGCCAGCAGCCGCGGUAAUUC